rnacentral:rRNA from 1 species
GAUGAACGCUGGCGGCGUGCCUAAUACAUGCAAGUCGAGCGAACGGACGAGAAGCUUGCUUCUCUGAUGUUAGCGGCGGACGGGUGAGUAACACGUGGAUAACCUACCUAUAAGACUGGGAUAACUUCGGGAAACCGGAUCUAAUACCGGAUGAUAUUUUGAACCGCAUGGUUCAAAAGUGAAAGACGGUCUUGCUGUCACUUAUAGAUGGAUCCGCGCUGCAUUAGCUAGUUGGUAAGGUAACGGCUUACCAAGGCAACGAUGCAUAGCCGACCUGAGAGGGUGAUCGGCCACACCUGAACUGAGACACGGUCCAGACUCCUACGGGAGGCAGCAGUAGGGAAUCUUCCGCAAUGGGCGAAAGCCUGACGGAGCAACGCCGCGUGGGUGAUGAAGGUCUUCGGAUCGUAAAACUCUGUUAUUAGGGAAGAACAUAUGUGUAAGUAACUGUGCACAUCUUGACGGUACCUAAUCAGAAAGCCACGGCUAACUACGUG